ACAUCCCCCCCAAAACACGGAGGGAACGGGAGUUUACGCUCGACUCCACACACACAGACACAGAAAGAAAGAACGAAAGAAAGAGCCUCAUCCGAGAAACGGGAGCCGGGAGCUGACCCUUGCAGAACCAUAGCGGAGCAGAGACUGCCAAUGAUUCAUACAACAAAGAGGAAAGGAAAAGACCUCCCUCACUAAAUAUGGAAAAGGCAUGGAUGGUUUCCAACCACAACGAGAGCCAAUGAGGACGCAUCAUAGUUCCACUGACCACACCCACACCUCCUCAGUGUGUACAGCAUGACGUCAGUCAGCUUUCAUAGAGGAGUGGUGAGCAGUGGCCAGAAAAGAAGAAACACACACCCAUCCGCACAAUAUCAAUGAAGAAACUAGGCGGAUGUCGGUUUAGCCACAGAAGAAGUCAGCAACCUUCCCGCUAGCCAUGAUUGGCUGAGAUAAUGAGUGGGUUGGACAUGCCGAGAGAUGUGUUCAGAUUGGUCUGCCAUGUAGCAUGCUUCUGUUUAUUUGAGCUGGUCAGUAUGUGUAGGUAACCCUUUCUAACGUGGCUUUUUUUUUUUAAAGAUAUCACGUAGUAGAGCUGCAUAAGUGUUGCUCUCCACUUUAUGGAGGACCAAGUUUUGAAAUCAGUGGAAGUAGAGUAUGAUAGUUAAGGAGAUGGAGAAAACACCUAUCUCAGGAUUACAUCUUCAAACUAAGGGCAACCUUGGCAUCCGUGAUAGGGAGAAGCGUCCAUCCAUGUAUAACGGUUAAGAUAGUCUAGCUAGCAAAAUGUUCAGAUAUUAUACGUGUCAGGAAGUCAUUAGUGUACUGUUAACUAGUUAGCGAACAUUAGCUGGCUGGCUCGCUAGCUAAUGUGAUGUGCAUGAUCUGUGUAGUAAUAUUAUACAUAUCUCAGAGCCAUUUGCUUUGCUAAUUUAGCAUAAUGUUAGCUAGCUAACAUUGAACCUGGUUGGUUAGCUACCUGCAGAUUCAUGCAGGGUAAUAACGUCAUGAGUUGGGAUUAUGGUCCAUUGUUCAGCUAGCUACAUGUCUUAACAAAAGACUCCAAUAUCCAAGUAAAUAUUUCAAUAGAAUGUUCACGAUGUCACUGCGACAUCUGCUGAUAGACGUAGCUGGAAAAUGUGUUCUGGCUAUCUACUCUGAUUCCAGAGUACUCUCGUCUGAGUGUGCCAGAGCGCAGAAUAACUGACGAAAUUACGAACACUCAACACUCGUUGAAUAUGGCCAGUGUCAGUAAACAUUGGCAAUAAAGUACAAUUCAAUUGUUGCCAGCCUAACCAGCUCUGCUAAGGCAAGUAAAAUGGUCAGAGUGAGGUGUUCUCUCAUUUGUGUCUGGAAGUAGCUCUCAAGCUAGCAAACGUUGGCCAGUUAGCUUGGGUGCUUGACUGCUGUUAGGACAGAACGCUCGGAUCAACCCUGCUCCUCAGACAGAGCGUCCAGUGUGCACUCUGAACACUCUUAGAGCGAAACACUCUGAAUUUACAAACGUACAAUCUGACAACGCUCUGAGUUUACGAAUGCCCAGAGCACACUCUGGCACUCCAGAUUCAAUUUAUGAACACACCCAUAGUAUAAUGCUUUUAGUCUUUAAUUCUUUGGUUGUUUAGUACAUGGCCUCAUAUCUGAAUCGUUAAAGAGAUUUAAAGACCAUUUUUUCAAAAGUGAGGUUACAAGUUUAUCAAUUUUCAAAACAGAAUUACUUUGCCAUUGUUCAACUGGAGUGUAUGAUAUACCAUUUUCUAGCUCUGAGUCUCUAAAUGUAUUUAAAGUAAAAAACACAAUUUCAAAUGUUUAUAGAUAAGACCAAAUUGAGCCGGUCGAUCACAUUUAUCAAGAGAACAUCCCUGGUCAUCCCUACUGCCUCUGAUCAGGAGGACUCACUAAACACAUGCUUCAUUUGUAAAUGAUGUCUGAGUGUUGGAGUGUACUCCUGGCUAUCCGCAAAUAAAAUAAAAAAACAAGAAAAUGGCGCCAUCUUGUCACGACUCCUACCAAAGGUGCCUCCCCUUCCUGUUCGGGUGGCGCUCGGCGUUCGUAGUCACCGGCCUACUAGCUGCCACUGAUCAUUUUCCCACUUUCUGUUGAUUGGUUUCACCUGUGUUGUGUUUAGGCUGAUUAGUUGGGCUAUAAUUACCAGAAGGCCCGCCUGCUCUUUGUGUGGGAUUGUUUUGUGUGACUUGUGUGUGGUUUGUGUGAGGUUUACGUGUUUCCCAUUUCGUGGGGUUUUGCUGGACUGUUUAAGUCCCCGUGUUUGGGGCAUUUGGUU